GACGAACGCUGGCGGCGUGCUUAACACAUGCAAGUCGAACGGAAAGGCCCUGCUUUUGUGGGGUGCUCGAGUGGCGAACGGGUGAGUAACACGUGAGUAACCUGCCCUUGACUUUGGGAUAACUUCAGGAAACUGGGGCUAAUACCGUAUAGGAGCUCCUGCUGCAUGGUGGGGGUUGGAAAUUUUCGGCGGUUGGGGAUGGACUCGCGGCUUAUCAGCUUGUUGGUGGGGUAGUGGCUUACCAAGGCUUUGACGGGUAGCCGGCCUGAGAGGGUGACCGGCCACAUUGGGACUGAGAUACGGCCCAGACUCCUACGGGAGGCAGAAGUGGGGAAUAUUGCACAAUGGGCGGAAGCCUGAUGCAGCAACGCCGCGUGCGGGAUGACGGCCUUCGGGUUGUAAACCGCUUUCGCCUGUGACGAAGCGUGAGUGACGGUAAUGGGUAAAGAAGCACCGGCUAACUACGUG
rnacentral:rRNA from 1 species